GAUGAACGCUGGCGGCAUGCCUUAUACAUGCAAGUCGUGCGAGAAGUUACCUUCGGGUAGUGGAAAGCGGCGGACGGGUGAGUAACGCGUAGAAACAUACCCCAGAGUGAGGAAUAAGCAUCGGAAACGGUGUUUAAUACCGCAUAACGUCUACGGACAAAAGAUUUAUCGCUUUGGGAAUGGUCUGCGUCUGAUUCGCUAGUUGGUGAAGUAAAAGCUCACCAAGGCGAUGUUCAGUAGCUGGUUUGAGAGGAUGAUCAGCCACACUGGGACUGAGACACGGCCCAGACUCCUACGGGAGGCAGCAGUAGGGAAUUUUCCACAAUGGGCGAAAGCCUGAUGGAGCAAUGCCGCGUGCAGGAUGAAGGACCUCGGUUCGUAAACUGCUUUUAUAACUGAAGAUUAUGACGGUAAGUUAUGAAUAAGGAUCGGCUAACUACGUGCCAGCAGCCGCGGUAA
rnacentral:rRNA from 1 species